rnacentral:rRNA from 1 species
CCUACGGGCGGCAGCAGUGAGGAAUAUUGGUCAAUGGUCGGGAGACUGAACCAGCCAAGCCGCGUGAGGGAUGAAGGUACAGAGUAUCGUAAACCUCUUUUGUCAGGGAACAAAGGCGGGGACGUGUCCCCGGAUGAGUGUACCUGAAGAAAAAGCAUCGGCUAACUCCGUGCCAGCAGCCGCGGUAAUACGGAGGAUGCGAGCGUUAUCCGGAUUUAUUGGGUGUAAAGGGUGCGCAGGCGGUCUGUUAAGUCAGCGGUUAAAGGCCGGGGCUCAACCCCCGCCCGCCGUUUAAAACGGGCAGUCUCGAGUUGGAGAGAAGUAUGCGGAAUGCGCGGUGUAGCGGUGAAAUGCAUAGAUAUCGCGCAGAACUCCGAUUGCGAAGGCAGCAUGCCGGCUCCACACUGACGCUGAGGCACGAAAGCGUGGGUAUCGAACAGGAUUAGAUACCCUUGUAGUC